GAUGAAGAACGUAGCGAAAUGCGAUACGUAGUGUGAAUUGCAGAAUUCAGUGAAUCAUCGAAUCUUUGAACGCACAUUGCGCCCCUUGGUAUUCCAUGGGGCAUGCCUGUUCGAGCGUCAUUUGUACCUUCAAGCUCUGCUUGGUGUUGGGUGUUUGUCUCGCCUCUGCGUGUAGACUCGCCUCAAAACAAUUGGCAGCCGGCGUAUUGAUUUCGGAGCGCAGUACAUCUCGCGCUUUGCACUCAUAACGACGACGUCCAAAAGUACAUUUUUACACUCUUGACCUCGGAUCAGGUAGGGAUACCCGCUGAACUUAAGCAUAUCAAUAAGCGGAGGA
rnacentral:misc_RNA from 1 species